AGAAAAUAAAAAUGGGUAUGAACACAAACAAAUAGAACAGCAAUUCAGAAUACAAACAAAGGCUUAUGAACUCUGUCUUUUGCUGUAUUCAACAGUUAAUUAUAAUCUAACAGAUAUUUUGAAAAUAAUGUUAUGUUGAUUAGUUACAUAAUUCAUAUGGUAUUGUUUCUGUUCCAUUUGGAUCUUAUAUAUUUAACCAAAUUAGCACGACUUGGCAAAUGUACAUUUGAUUAUAAAUUUGCAGUUAUGUUGAUUAAUUACAUAAGUCAUCUAGUC